GAUGAAGAACGUAGCGAAAUGCGAUACGUAAUGUGAAUUGCAAAUUCAGUGAAUCAUCGAGUCUUUGAACGCACAUUGCGCCCCCUGGUAUUCCGGGGGGCAUGCCUGUCCGAGCGUCAUUGCUGCCCUCAAGCACGGCUUGUGUGUUGGGCCCCGUCCUCCGAUCCCGGGGGACGGGCCCGAAAGGCAGCGGCGGCACCGCGUCCGGUCCUCGAGCGUAUGGGGCUUUGUCACCCGCUCUGUAGGCCCGGCCGGCGCUUGCCGAUCAACCCAAAUUUUUAUCCAGGUUGACCUCGGAUCAGGUAGGGAUACCCGCUGAACUUAAGCAUAUCAAUAAGCGAAGGA
rnacentral:misc_RNA from 1 species